AUAACGACUCUCGGCAACGGAUAUCUCGGCUCUCGCAUCGAUGAAGAACGCAGCGAAAUGCGAUACUUGGUGUGAAUUGCAGGAUCCCGCGAACCAUCGAGUCUUUGAACGCAAGUUGCGCCCGAAGCCUUCUGGCCGAGGGCACGUCUGCCUGGGUGUCACUC
rnacentral:rRNA from 1 species